UACGGGGGGGCAAGCGUUGUUCGGAAUUACUGGGCGUAAAGGGCGCGUAGGCGGCCUGCUAAGUCAGACGUGAAAUCCCUCGGCUUAACCGGGGAACUGCGUCUGAUACUGGAUGGCUUGAGGUUGGGAGAGGGAUGCGGAAUUCCAGGUGUAGCGGUGAAAUGCGUAGAUAUCUGGAGGAACACCGGUGGCGAAGGCGGCAUCCUGGACCAAUUCUGACGCUGAGGAGCGAAAGCCAGGGGAGCAAACGGG
rnacentral:rRNA from 1 species